GAUGAAGAACGCAGCGAAAUGCGAUACGUAAUGUGAAUUGCAGAAUCCCGUGAACCAUCGAGUCUUUGAACGCAAGUUGCGCCUCAAGCCAUUAGGUUGAGGGCACGUCUGCCUGGGCGUCACAUAUCGUUGCCUGAUGCCAGUUUCCUCGUGAUGGGUGACUGUGCAGGGCGAAUGAUGGCUUCCCGUGAGCAUUGUUGCCUCAUGGUUGGUUGAAAAUUGAGUCCUUGGUAGGGAGCGCCGUGAUAGAUGGUGGUUGAGUGACGAACGAGACCCAAUCAUGUGAGACCCCUACCGAAUUUGGCCUUCAUGACCCACAUGCGUCUUUGGAACGCUCAUGACGAGACCUCAGGUCAGGCGGGGCUACCCGCUGAGUUUAAGCAUAUCAAUAAGCGGAGGA
rnacentral:misc_RNA from 1 species